rnacentral:misc_RNA from 1 species
GACCGGACCACGUGCCGG